CUAUUUAUGAGAAUUUUCUCUCUUAUCA
rnacentral:tRNA from 1 species